rnacentral:snRNA from 1 species
AGCUUUGCGCAGUGGCAGUAUCGUAGCCAAUGAGGUUUAUCCGAGGCGCGAUUAUUGCUAAUUGAAAAAAAGCACACUAGUACUCAUAAACUAUUUUCAAGUAGAAAAAUGAAGUUAAGUGGUGAACAAU